rnacentral:rRNA from 1 species
GCGGAGGGAUCAUUACUGAGUGAGGGCCUUCGGGCUCGACCUCCAACCCUUUGUGAACACAACUUGUUGCUUCGGGGGCGACCCUGCCGUUUCGACGGCGAGCGCCCCCGGAGACCAUCAAACACUGCAUCUUUGCGUCGGAGUUUAAGUAAAUUAAACAAAACUUUCAACAACGGAUCUCUUGGUUCUGGCAUCGAUGAAGAACGCAGCGAAAUGCGAUAAGUAAUGUGAAUUGCAGAAUUCAGUGAAUCAUCGAAUCUUUGAACGCACAUUGCGCCCUUCGGUAUUCCGAAGGGCAUGCCUGUUCGAGCGUCAUUUCACCACUCAAGCCUGGCUUGGUAUUGGGCGCCGCGGUCAAUCCGCGCGCCUCAAAGUCUCCGGCUGAGCUGUCCGUCUCUAAGCGUUGUGAUUUCAUUAAUCGCUUCGGAGUGCGGGCGGCCGCGGCCGUUAAAUCUUUCACAAGGUUGACCUCGGAUCAGGUAGGGAUACCCGCUG